GUUCGAUUACUAUUGGCGAAACGCAUAGAGUUUCCCAACAUUAACUAGAGGGAACUCUGGCGCUGCGAUCGUUCAGCCACCAUGGGAAUGAUGGGUAGUACACGGAUUUGCCUAUA
rnacentral:lncRNA from 1 species